CUGGGUUUGGGUAAAGGUACCGGUACAUACCUGGGUUUGGGUAAAGGUACAGGUACAUACCUGGGUUUGGGUAAAGGUACAGGUACAUACCUGGGUUUGGGUAAAGGUACAGGUACAUACCUGGGUUUGGGUAAAGGUACAGGUACAUACCUGGGUUUGGGUAAAGGUACAGGUACAUACCUGGGUUUGGGUAAAGGUACAGGUACAUACCUGGGUUUGGGUAAAGGUACAGGUACAUACCUGGGUUUGGGUAAAGGUACAGGUACAUACCUGGGUUUGGGUAAAGGUACAGGUACAUACCUGGGUUUGGGUAAAGGUACAGGUACAUUCCUGGGUUUGGGUAAAGGUACCGGUACAUACCUGGGUUCGGUAAAAGGUACAGGUACAUACCUGGGUUAGGGAAAGG